rnacentral:piRNA from 1 species
UUUCAUUAAGGGAAAGCAUGUAUGC